rnacentral:rRNA from 1 species
CGCUGGCGGCGUGCCUAACACAUGCAAGUCGAGCGAGGAGAUUCCUUCGGGAUGAUCCUAGCGGCGGACGGGUGAGUAACACGUGGGCAACCUGCCUCAUAGAGAGGAAUAGCCUUCCGAAAGGGAGAUUAAUACCUCAUAACAUUGCAGUUUCGCAUGGAACAGCAAUUAAAGGAGUAAUCCGCUAUGAGAUGGGCCCGCGGCGCAUUAGCUAGUUGGUGAGGUAACGGCUCACCAAGGCGACGAUGCGUAGCCGACCUGAGAGGGUGAUCGGCCACAGUUGGGACUGAGACACCGGCCCAGACUCCGUACGGGAGGCAGCAGGUGGGGAAUAUUGCACAAUGGGGGAAACCCUGAUGCAAGCAACGCCGCGUGAGUGAUGACGGCCUUCGGGUUGUAAAGCUCUGUCUUCAGGGACGAUAAUGACGGUACCUGAGGAGGAAGCCACGGCUAACUACGUGCCAGCCGCAGC